rnacentral:rRNA from 1 species
UACGGAGGGAGCUAGCGUUGUUCGGAAUUACUGGGCGUAAAGCGUGCGUAGGCGGUUAUUCAAGUCAGAGGUGAAAGCCCGGGGCUCAACCCCGGAACGGCCUUUGAAACUAGAUAACUAGAAUCUUGGAGAGGUCAGUGGAAUUCCGAGUGUAGAGGUGAAAUUCGUAGAUAUUCGGAAGAACACCAGUGGCGAAGGCGACUGACUGGACAAGUAUUGACGCUGAGGUACGAAAGCGUGGGGAGCAAACAGG